GCCAAUCAGGACACACCUCCCUUCACUGUCCUCCCUGAUCCAUAGAGUUCUCAGGCAGCUUCAAUGGAAGGAGGCCAAGAAGAAGGGCUGGUAUAAAUUCGAAGAUGAUAAUUACAACAUGGAUUGUGUACAUUCUUGCCCGGAAAGGUGUAGGAUUCCCCUUCCCACCAAAGACUAGCUCGGACAUUGAAGUUGUGGAAAGUGAGGCUGUAUCUGUUGUAGAGCAUUGGUUGAAAAAAACAGAAGAAGAGGCUUCCGAGAGCAUUAAGGAGAAGAUGUCCACCAACUCCUCUCCCACUCAUGGCCAAGACAUACAUGUGACCAGAGAUGUGGUGAAACAGCAACUCUCAAAGGCUGAUUUAUGUGCAAACCCAAGCCAAGAGAUCCUGGAGGAGAGAACAAGAAUCCAGUUCAUAAGAUGGAGCCACACCCGCAUCUUCCAAGUGCCAAGUGAGGUGAUGGGCGAGGUCAUGCAAGAUCGGAUAGAGCAGGUGAGACGAAGCUUAUCCCAUCUUACCUGUGACUCAGCUCAGGACUCAAGCUUCAGAUCUUCCUUCACAAACUGUUAAGAACAACAGACAUGGAACCAGAAGUUCAGGGAAGGUGUUUUCCCUGCAGAACAUGGUCAUUCCAUUCCCAGCUUAGCCAGGACUUGCUUUCAGAUGGUGCAGCUACCUGGCCGAAGAGAUUUCUUGGUCAACACAUCAAAGGAAGGGAAAAGGGGCAGAGUAGAGCUGUUCUCUCCACUGCCUUACACAGCGGGCUUUCACCAUUUCAUCCUUGCCGGCUUUGCCAGUUCUCCCUCUAAUGGGGCAGGCAGGCAGAGGAGAAGAGGAAAACGAGAAUUCAAAAGUACAGCACGACAGAGGAGCACCUGCUGGAUAUUUUAGAUCACAGUUGACCAUGGGCAGCUGAGACCACAGAAAGCAAAACUGCUGAUAAGAGGGACUGCUACAUAGCCCCACUCUGUGCCCAUAAAGAAGAGGAAGAGCCAAAACCGGAUGUAGAGGACAGAGAGCAAACUAAGCCUGUGGCCCUCUUGGGCACUGAACAUCCACUAGGCUUUCUUUCCCUUGCAAAACACACAGACAAUAUUCCCUGGCCUCCAGGGUGCUAUCUUCUCUUUUAACCUAUUCCUUAGAAGGACUACUUUCCUCCCCUCAAAAUAUGAGGGAGGAGUGCAGAUCAUGCCCCAAGAACACCUGUCUGGGCAGUGUCAAUGGCAGCCAAACAGCACCAUGAAUGUGACCAUGUCCUGCAGGACUAGCUGCAUGAGGAUUCCUGCCUGGCAGGGGGUGGUCCUUGCUAGGACUCUGCCCCUGUGCUCAAUGAGCAAUGUCCAUGUCCAUUGUUCUCCAGAGCUCCUGCCCUCUCCUCUGGGUGACUCAUCCCUGGGCUCCACCAUCAUGGUCCCAUCUGAAGAGAGGCCCAGGAAGGAUGUAUGCUUCCUGCUGGCAGAGCUUCUCACAGGCUCUUGUAGACCAGCUUAUCAUUUCUUUGGUGCUCAGUUCCCUUAGCAUUUGAGGUUUCUGAAAUACUUCUAGUCAGUUCCAAAUGCUAGUAUCAGCACCCAAGUUCUUUCCAAGAUUUGGUUCUCAAGUGUGCUUAAUUUUUCUUUGUUUCCAUGCUUCUCUUUCUCUUUCAAUUUAAUAACAGCCACCAUGAGACCUCUGAAACAACAGGCUUGGAAGGUGUGUUAAUUUGCUACAGCUGCCAUACAAAGUACCAUGAAUGGUGGCAUCAACACGAGGAAUUUGGAGGCUGAAAGUCUUAGAUCUGUGUCUUCAGCUCUGCCAGGCUGCACAGAGAUAACAGAGAUCCUGGCUGCUCAGUGUGCUAAGGGUGUGAUGUUUCAGAGCUCUCACUAUUACCCUGAAAAAUCAGCAGAGCUCCAACUGACAGCAAGGGGAAGACUUGGACACUGAGCAAUCUACACUUUCCUGGCCAGGUCCCCAGAGGGCCCAGUCAGAUUCUGCUCCUGAAAGGACAUGGCAAUGUUCUCUCCCUCAUGCAGCAAAGUCAGUGGAAACACAGCUGCAUCCUCAGGCAAGUGCUGGAGAAGAGGCCCAAAGGAGUGAACCCAACUGAAGGCAGGAAAUGUGUCUGGUCCCAGCCAUCCUCCUGGACUCUGAAUGUGGUCUAUGUCUCUGUCAUUGUGAUGUGUGGAGGAAGAAGCAGGGUUCCCCAGGGACAGCACUGUUGCCCAGGCACAAGACCUCCAUGUUCAUCCUCAGAGGGAUCAAACUCAGGACCUUGAACUUGUAAGGCAGGCGUGGGCACCACUGAGCUGAAUCACCAGCCCCAAUAAUAUUUACCCUUAAAGAUAGAUACACAGAAGAGAAAUCAAAGUGACCCUGGAGGUAGAGAUUGGAAUGA